CUCAGGACAAGUAGGAAGAAGUCUCUCUGCUGAGGUAAGAGGAAAGAACAGGAUGCUUUUGAUGAAAAUGUUAAACCUGAGAAGAGGCUAUUAACCCAUCCCUGGCCACAAGCUUUUGGGGUAGAAUCUGGACUACAUGCUGCCAAUUCAGAGUUCUCCUUGCCUCCCAAGCAGUGGUUCUCACAUUAGAGGACAGACUCCAAGGAACCAGAAUCUUCUCUAAGCUUCCGAUUUCCUUUUGGGAAGAAAAAUACAUAGCAAUCUCAGAGGCUGCUGGUUGCCAUAGGCCUGUCUUUUCUUUCAUACUUCCCUAUCAGCGGGCACUUCCCUAGAUUAUUGUGGCUUUAGAUGUAUUUCAUGUUGUCUAGUCAGAGUUGGGCCUAAGGUAUCUGUGGCCAUGAUCUUUGCUAGACAUUAAACUUUUCUUGAUGUUCUACUCUAAUGCCCCCAAAUUUGCCACUGAAUCUCUCUUGGGUUCUUCUGUGUUAAAUUAUGAUUAAAUUAUGAUUAUCUUAUAUUUCGGCUCCAGGAUUAUAGGCAACAAUAAAACUCCAAGCUUAGAGUUGCUUAGGUAGUUGGCAGAUGGGUCUCUAGAGAACAGAUCUCAGCAAAAGACUGAAAUCAUCAUUGAAAUAUAGCAUGUGCCAGGGAGAGUGCAAGGGAGCUAAGGAUAUAGACUCAGAAGACAUUUCUCUACCCACAAGGGGCUAUGUGUAGUCUACUAGAGAGGUCUAUGUUUUUCAGGUAGGAAUUCCAAACCAGAAUACAUCCAACCAUGAGGUUACCUAUUUGGGGGAUUGAAUUGCUGCUGUGGGGUUUGGAUGCACACACUUUAUUAAGACAGGUUAACCUAAAAUUUUUAGGAAAAUCAUAAGGCAAUUAUUAUUAUUGGCUCAUAAGGCAAUUAUUGAGAUGUAGAAUAAAUACACCAGGUAAGCCCGUCUACUUACUAGAAAGUUUUCUCCUUAGCAGUAGAGUUGGUGGCCUGGAAUCUAUGGAUACACCUAAUGUAGAGUAACACCCUAAAAAUCUAUGAUAGUGGCAAUUUCACAUGAUUGGAUAUGAAUCUGGAGACCCAGUUUUCAACUACUACCAAAAAAUAAUCUUGCGGAAUUUUGGUGACCUGUUUACAUUUUUAAUAUUUUUUGUUUUGAAAUGGGGUUAUAUCUAAUUUAGCUGUCUCACUUGGUGGUAUAAAUGUUCAAAUGAGAUAAUGAGAACUGAAAAUGUAGACACUGUCUCUUUCUCGUAUUCAACGCACAGAGCACCUGGGCUGGGAGAGGGAAGUGAUGAGAAGGAGAUGCUUUGCUCUGCUGAACUGCUGUAAAGAAAAGGAAGAAGAGAUUACUCAGGGGUUUUUUACUCACAAUCCCCCUACGUCUGACUCUCAGUAGACCACUAGUCUUGGUUACAAUAGGAGCAGGCUUUUGUUUUAUUUUUUCCCUUCCAGAAUCCCAUAGCAUGUUUCCCUGCUUCUGCCUGGAACAUCCAACCCUUAUUAAGUAUCUACCUCAAGAAAGACAUUGGGCUUCAAAGAUGAAAAAGGCAUAUCUCAAAGGAGAUUGCAGAAAGCAGACCACCAACCCCUUAGAAGAUGUUUCAGGAAGAAAAAGUUCACACCAAAGACCAAGGAGGCAAGGAGAUCUUUAUUAGUUAACUAUAUCAGGAUCGACAUUAAUUCAGAAACAGGAGAAGGCAAGUUUGAACAAAGGCUGAAUAAUUAGUCUAAUCACCUGACAAGAUGCUUCAGGCCCCGUUCCUCAGAGUCAAACAACAGACCACCCACAAGAAUGGAGAUCCUUGCCUGCUCUGGAUAUGCUCUCACUGAUGUGAGGUUUUACAUGUUCUGAUUUUCAAGGGAUUUUAGGGAGAUAAUCAUCAAGAUUGUGAUAAAAUAUAUAGGAAAAUGAAAUUACAGAGAGAACUCUGGAAAAUAACAGAAACAAUGGGCAACAGAAGGGCAAUUUGUAAUGCAAGAAGGAUGGCAGAUCAUGGCACAGACUCAAGAAAUAAGGUGUGUAUUCACUUUGCAGCAAUUAUGUUACUAAAUACUAUGGUGUCAAAGUAACCUAAAGAAAAGAUUAUACAAGUCUAACGCUUAGGUGCAUCUGAGAUUUUAGUGGACAGAUGAUGAAAUUCAAAUCUUUAUAACAUUUCAUUGUAAUUUGACCCAAGAGUAAGUCUGAUAAUAUUGGCUAUUGAAUGGGGGAAGACUUAUCCUUGUCCUUCUUCUGCAACCUCUUUUAGCCCUUGACUCCAUGGCAUCCUCGAGCACCAAGCAGAAGCUGGCUUCUUUGGUGAGAACUGUGGCCCAGACCUAACCCUGCCCAAUAUACACCAUCCACACUUGGGUUCUGGAUUCCAUUGCUUCAUGCCCCUGCUUUCCACUGAGGAAGAAAAUUGAGUCAACUGCACUAAAGCCUCCCAUGGAAGAAGAAAAAGAGCUAGUCACCAGGCAAGGAGAGCUGGGAAAAGACCCAGGAAAGCCAAAGGAAGAGGGAGAUUCAAAACGGAGAUGGUGAACUACUAAGCCAGAUGCUGAAGGCAGGCCUCGGAGAACUAAGAAGGAUGAGGUUUACUGUUAGAAUUGGUGAGUUGCACAGUGAGAUGAGAAGAGACAGAGCCCAGUAUAUGGAGGAAAAAGAUAGACAAGAAGUGGAGAGGGUGGUAAUAAGGUCAGCUGGGUAUCUGAAGUUCUGCUAAACACAGGCACAUAUAAUCUCCUCACAAGGGUCAUUUUAAGUAGGAGUGUUAUUUUCCCAUUUUACAGAGGAGCAAGUUACAGCACAAACUGGACAAUAAAUUACUUCACAACAUUGUAUCACUGGAACUGAUAAAGCUCUAUCAGCUCUGUUCUUGACGGCUAUUAUUGAGCCUCUCUUUCUUUUCAGAGGUUCAUUUCAGAGGAUGGAUAUAGUUUAUCUUAGUUUCAUGAGGAGAAUGAGGUGUGAGGGAGCUUUCCGCCCACUCUUUUUCCUAUUAUACAAGGAAGAAAAAGGGAUAUUGUGUGAGCAGAUGGAAGACAGCUGAGGAGAUGGAGGGUGAAGAUACAAAAGAUGAGUUCUAAUUGAUGGGAUAAAAUCUCCCAAGGAACAGAAAGGGCUCUCAUUACAAACAAGGCAGGGGAAAUUAACUUGCAACCCAAGAAAAGGAAGAAAAUGGUCACUGGGUUUGAUGACUAGGAAAUAAUUAUGUCCAUAAUAACUUUAAAACUUAGAUUUCACAAGGGAAGUCAGUUGCUAACAAAGAGUCAGUUAUUCCUUUCAUGAGCUUAUGCAGCCUGUCAAGUUGAGUCAACAACUGCAUUGCUGUCAUUUCUAAUUUUCUAGAAGCUGAUUAAAUAAAUAAAACAAUUUAUCCAACUCUAUUAUAUAAAAUAUCCAUGGUGCGCCAUUCACAAGAGGGAUUAGUCGUCUGUUAUAAACCAGGGUUCUUUAAUUUCAAGGGUCAGAAUCUUAACUUGAACUAGUUUAGGUAAAAACUAAAAACACAGACACACCCCAGGAAGCAUGCGGGGUCACCAGUCCUGGAAGAACUGGUGAUGGACAGAAACAAAUAAUAAAAGCCUACUUCAUAAGCAUUGCCACUCUUUUGCAUAUGGGGAAGUGAAGUACACAGGUAUUAGAAAACUGACUCAUGUAUCUGGAAUCAGAGCUGAUAAUAGACAUAGACCCUUUCCCCAGUUUCAGUGCUAAAUUGUUAUGGCUUCUGUGUUAAAAAUUGGAUUUGACUUUAGGUGUGAUUAUUGCUGUUCUCCAGUUUCCUUAUUUGUAGACAGAAAGAACUAUGUCACAAGAAGCUCAUACUUCUGAGCACAUCCUCAAGAGAACCUGUGGGUAUAUCUUCAAGAUUCAGCUUCCCCCUUCUUCACAUACAGCAGUAGGAAGAUACUCAGGCCAGGAAGACUCUGCUCGCCGCGGGUGUAUCUUCAUCCGGGUGAUUCAUGGUGACCUCAGUGAGAACCCCACCUGCAGAGUCAUAGUGAGUGGGCUGAGCAGGAGGAAACGUCAGCUCCACCUGGGCCCUAACCUGCCUCUGCACUUUCAGCUCAUCUUUCAUGGUUAACAUGAAGUGAGUGCUUGCUUCCUCUAAUGCCCCAAGGAGAAUUUAGACACUUAGACAUUCUAAAACAUAAGCAUCAUAGGUUCAAUUGUUCUCUCUCUUCUUGAAGUAUUUUAAAGGUAUGGCCCUAGUUCAUACAACUGAAGCACAUUUCUCUCCUCAUUAAUGAAAUCUGAAAAAGUAAUUACUGAAUGCUUAGGAGUAAAUCAGAAGGUAUAUUAUAGGAAGAGGUCUUGGAAAUGUGUACAUGAAAGGAAGGAAAUGUGGACUUAAACAAUAAUAGUCAUAUCUAAUGUUGUGUGCAGAUUUCAGUCAGGAAAUGUUCAUUGUUGAGAAAAACGUACAAGGGAACUUACUAUCAACCUUCAGAAUAACAGGUACAACACCAAACAUGUUCUUCAAUGAGCAGAACUGCUUUAAGGACUAACAAUAGUCCUCGUGGAUAUUUUUCAAGUGUUCCCUUGCUCUCUUCUUGCCCACUGGUUUAACUCCGGCUCACUAGAAGCCUAUUUUGUGUCCAGGCCUCUGCUAGAUGCUGCUUUUACCUCAUUUGGGCCUCACUUCAUCUCCAGAGAACUGUCACCAUUCUCAUUUUGCAGACUUGAGGGAUUAAGAGCCUUACUAAGAUCACAUCAGAGGAGACUGGAGCUGGCUUCUGGUAUUCUAGCCCAGCUCUUUCCUGACACCAUGGGCUGUGUUCCUUCCACUGCAUCCAUCAAUGAGCAGCAUCGACAUUUAGAGAUGGGGUUGAGUCUGGGAAGAAAAAUAUUAUUUCUUUGUUAAUUCUAAUUUCAUGAACAAAAAUUAAGUACUUUGCAUAGAAGGAAUAGAGAAUAAAGC
rnacentral:lncRNA from 1 species